rnacentral:rRNA from 1 species
UACGUAGGGGGCAAGCGUUGUCCGGAUUUAUUGGGCGUAAAGAGCGUGUAGGCGGCCAGAUAGGUCCGUUGUGAAAACUCGAGGCUCAACCUCGAGACGCCGAUGGAAACCAUUUGGCUAGAGUCCGGAAGAGGAGAGUGGAAUUCCUGGUGUAGCGGUGAAAUGCGCAGAUAUCAGGAAGAACACCCGUGGCUAAGGCGGCUCUCUAGUACGGUACUGACGCUGAGACGCGAAAGCGUGGUGAGCGAACAGG